rnacentral:lncRNA from 1 species
UGUGUGAGGGCAUGACCUGGGAAGACAGAGACAGAGCUGGUGAUAGAGACCAAGAAGUAGAGACAGGGAAAGAAAGAUGGAGAGGCCAGGAGCGGUGGCUCAUGCCUGAAAUCCCAGCACUUUAGGAGGCCAAGGUGGACGGAUCACUUGAGGUCAGGAGUUCGAGACCAAUCUGGCCAGACAGAGGCAAAGAAAACAGGAAGAGACGAAGCUGGGCCUCAGAGCUGAGUGGGGUGGAGGGUCAAAGGCUGGCCUCACCUCUCCGGAGGCUCAGGUCUCCACUGGGCGCCAGGUAGCCCCGGCCGUGAGGGCACAAUGACUGGUACUCAGCUACACACAGAGACAAGCCUGAGCCAGGACACCAGAGCCCCAGCCCCAGCCCUGACCUGCUCGUGCCCACUUGUCACAAAAGUCCCUCUGGCCCUGUGCCUGUUAGUGCCCACCUCUCAGCCUUAUGUCUGCCCAUGCCCACCUGCCUGGCAGCUCGCCCUUGCCCUGACAGUACUAGUACCUCAAGGCCCUGUCCAAAAGUGUCCCCUGUCCCAGGCCCACACCCCACCCAGUAUUUCCACCCAAGCCCUCAGCCCUGUGUCCCCAUCAGCCCAUGCCCACCUGUCUCGGUGCCCGGGCACUGCUGGAUGCGGCAGCCGCUGCCCCAGCCCUCACCCACAGUACAGCAGCACUCCUGCCACGUCACAUUCCGAGCCAGGAUGUUGUCACAUGCAUCCGGGGCCGCUGUGUCAAAGUAGCACUCCCGGCGCCCGCUCCCCACAGGGCCCUGCCUAGGUGUGCUGGGUCGGCGGGGCAGGGGUGGCGGAGGUGGCCUGGCGGGCAGAACAGGGCUAGCAGGUGCCUGGGGCUGCGAGCCUGGGAACGUGCCUGGGGAGACAAGGAGCUUUAGCCCAGUGUGGGCUGAAUCCCCAGCCCCGCCACUAUCAUAGAUGGGGAAACUGAGCCUGGCAUAGAUAGGGAAACAGAGGGUGGCAGCCAUCAGUGGCAGAACCAGACUCCACACCUCUCACACUCCUCUGUCACUGUUUCUCUUUCUCCCACUGUCACCUCCUGUCAUUUCUGCAUCUCUUGCCUCCCCACCUCACACUUUCCCGUCACUGCAGCUAACAGCUUGGGUGGGUGGUGAGGGAACUUCCCUGGCUUCCUGGAUGCCUCUCUGGGUCUCUUAUCCAGUGUGUGGCAAACUGGCUGAGUCUUCAUCUCAAAACCUACAAUUUGUCGCCAGGUGCAGUGGCUCCUGCCUGUCCUCCCAGCACUUCAGGAGGCCGAGGCGGUUGGAUUACUUGAGGUCAGGAGUUCGAGACCAGCCUGACCAACA